CGCUCGUCCUCGGUCCGCACGGCUGGCCGUUCCCAGGCGGGCUGGGCAGCAGCCUUCCUCGCCCUCCGUGGCUCCGACCUGCCCGCGGGCUGCGUGCCCCCUUGGCGUCGCCGGAGCCGCGCCGUGGGUGUCCACCGCCCACCCUGGGAGUGACGUGGCGGGACGGGACUUUGCUCGCCUUGCUCAGGGCUGCCCACCCUCGGUGCAGACGGCACCUUGCAGACAGCCCCCCUCCGGUGGAGCAGAGAAUCAGAACCUCAGAGUUCGUGACACGGAAAGGGCUCUGAGGGCCCCCGUCUAGCUCUCCCCUUUACUGGGGUGAAUCUGAGCCUGGAUGCCAGCUGGGGAUGGUUCCCAGGACCCUGCAUCCCUCCUGCCCAACUGGCGUUCCUGACCCCUCUGUGGAAGCCAGCCGCCUGGGUGGACUAGCUCCUCGGAAAACGUGCUCAUAUUCGAGGUGGGGGUGCCCAGAACAACGUCCUCUGCAGCUCUUUUUCAAAGAGUGGAUGAGUGACUUCUCACUGCCUUCCCCCGGGAUCAUGUAAAACCACGGGUGGAUUUUGUUUGUAACCAAACCUCCAGAAUCAAGAGGAAAGUCUGGCUUCCGAGAACGUCCAGGGUGGACUUGGACCUGGGACUCAAUCAUUGCUGCACUUUGAGCUGAACACGUUAUUUCUUGGUCAAAUGAAUAGAUUUAUCAUUACGAUCCCAGUAAACCAGUCUUUGUGAAGUUUUGAUCAAAGCAUCCUUCAAUCCCUUUGGAACAAGGCGGGACAGAAAUAAUACCUGCGAAGAUGAUGGAUGUCGGCGCUGGGGGAGGGAAGGAGCUUGUGGUUUCCGUGUCCAGCAGACGUCCACUGGCUGCCUGACCUGUGCAAGGCUCUGAGGGUGCCAGGAAGAACAAAGAGCCCUUCCAGGAGGGCUUGAGGGGUUGGCAGCGUAAGGAGACCCCGGGACAGCGCUGCGGUGAGGGAGGCACGAGUGGUCUGCUGGGGGGUUGUCACAGCCCCUCGGCUGUGAUGUCCCCAAACCUGGCCCAUCUUUAAGGACCAGCAAGGGUUUCCUGGAGGGACCAGAGAGGCUGCUGCUGUCAUGGGUACGGCCCUGGAAGAAGGUGGGAACCUGGGCUGCAGGAGUGCAGCGUGACCAGAGCCCAGUGUACACUGGGGCCGAGGGGGAGGUUGUGAAAGGUCUUGGAGGCAUCUUAUCCCGGGACGGAGAGCUGCUGACGUCUGGAGUGACGCCAUCAGAUUUGCCGUCAGGAGGAUGGAGCCCUGGAGGGUCGGCAGCUCACGAGGACUCCUUCCUGGGAAACACGGUCAAUUUGGAAACGGGGCCGCGGGGGAUGCCUGCCGCCAUUCUCAGAACCUCCAUCUGCGUCCCAGCACCCCGCCCGCGGGUACCCCCGUUCAGCCUCACGGGCUCCUGCAGUGUUUUAUUCGUCCUGGUGAUGCGAUCAGCAGGUGUUAGGUGUCUUUCCCAGAGUGGGAUCCGUCCACCUCCCACCAGCCCCUCUGCUGUCAAAGGACCGUGCUCGACAAGACUCCUCACGAGAAAGAGGAAGGAUGGCUCAGCCCAGUGAGGCCUGUUUGCUGUGUCGGUGGUCUCUGGUUAGACCCCUUAACAGCUCCUGAUACCUCCAGGAGAGUUUCUAAGCUGUGGCCUGAUGCGAACCCCGCGUGAGGGUUCAAGCUCCCAUCCGAGCCUGUCGCCUGUGGAGCUGGCGCCCUGCCCUGCCCCGCGGGUCUGCCCAUGUUCCCGGGAUCCCCGCUGUUGGAACAGCAGCACAGGUCUCUCUGCCCAGGGAACACCCCUGCGGCUGGACUCCUGCGCCUCUGGUAAUCUCCUGCCAACCCCCUGCCUUAGUUUUUAGGACACCUCUGGCCUCUGCUGUCACCUGCUGAAGGGCAGGCGCUGUGCAUUCCACUGUACCCAGGACAACGCGCUGCUCCGAGAAGGUUCUCGCCUACCGUGAGUUGAAAAGAAAAGACCCUUUAGUUGCUUGGACGCUUUUCUCUGCUAGAAUGAGAUGUGUCUUCAGAGGAACCCGCCUGAGGGCGGGCUUGCUUCUACAGACGGUCUUACCGGGCGGAACACGGACAGUCACCGGCAGUGGGGCUGCUGGAGUGUCCUCAGUGGGCUGUGGUCAGUGGGGUGUGGCUGGUAGGUGCACCUCCUGUGGCUCCCAGAGGGGAGGAAAAUGGAGCGAGACCCCCCAGACAGAGGCAGACGGGCCGAGCUCGAGGGCGACGCGUGAGGGGCCAGUGCGCCCUUUCCUUCGGGUUAGGGAGGUGUGAGUAUCUGAGGGGCCGUGGGAGGAGAGGAGGAUGGAAGGAGAAGGACCCGGUCUGGGAAGGCAGGCCCACACCACCCCGGGAGACGCAGGGCGCGCUCAGGACACAGGCUGGGCUGGGUGCCCCCUCCUGGCGCUGGGGAGGGAGCCCCGGGGGGUGAGCCCUGGGG
rnacentral:lncRNA from 1 species